rnacentral:lncRNA from 1 species
UACCUUAAAGGUACGUGUGUGUGCGUCUGCUCCCGCUUCGAGAACAUAAAUAUUAUACUGUAUGCUGGAAUGUCCAAUGGCAAUCAUGAUGAUGAUGAUACUAAUACUACAAGCUUCAUCAUCUAUGUGAAUAAGUGUGCUUCUUGCUUGCUUGUUUAGAUAGAAACAUCGUGUAACAGUUUCUAGUACAGAGAAGAGGGACUCUUUAUACAAUGAGGAUUAAAAUGGACGUUUAUGCUUUUGGGAAAAAAUGGAAUCGAAUUCGUUUUCCCAAAUACUUGGAGAAGGCAUUUAUAUUUAUAAUUAGGUAUCCGCGUUGAGAGCGACCGCAUAAGAAUUGGUCAAACUCUGAGACGUUCGUUUGUAAGAAUAAGAGGGAAUUUGAGGCCUCAAAGUGAAUUUUGAGGCAACAACACCAUGAAAGAAAGUAGCAAAUGGCUCCAAGACCAUUAUGACGCCUCCAUAUUGCCAUAAUUUUCGUCUCAAAACUCGCCAGAUCUGAAUCCGAUGGGAUUUUUGUGUAUGUGUGAGACACGAUCGAUCAACAUACCAACCGAACACCCUGCAACACCAAAGUCGGAUCAAGAAGGAAUUUCAGUAUAUGCCAAGGAAGCAAGGGCCGCCUAUAUUUACUGUAAUUGAUACUGGAUGUGAUUUUAUUUAAUAAAAUAUAACAGAAUCCAUCAAACUUUCA